rnacentral:rRNA from 1 species
UACGGAGGGUGCAAGCGUUGUCCGGAAUUAUUGGGCGUAAAGAGUUUGUAGGCGGUUUUUCGCGUCUGCUGUGAAAUUUCGGGGCUCAACCCCGAACUUGCAGUGGGAACGGGCAGACUAGAGUGUGGUAGGGGAGACUGGAAUUCCUGGUGUAGCGGUGAAAUGCGCAGAUAUCAGGAGGAACACCGAUGGCGAAGGCAGCCCCCUGGGCUAAGACUGACGCUGAGGCACGAAAGCGUGGGGAGCAAACAGG